rnacentral:rRNA from 1 species
CCCUUAGAUGUUCUGGGCCGCACGCGUGCUACACUGAGUAAUUCAAUGGGUAAGGGAACGCUAGAGCAUUACCUAAUCUUGAAAUUUGCUCGUGAUGGGGAUCGACGGUUGCAAUUUUCCGUCGUGAACGAGGAAUACCUUGUAGGCGCAUCUCAUCAUCAUGCGCCGAAUACGUCCCUGCCCUUUGUACACACCGCCCGUCGCUCCUACCGAUUGAGUGAUCCGGUGAGGCUCUGGGACCUGGACGGAAAGAGCGUUUCGCUUGUUCUGUUUGGGAAACUUGGUCGAACCUCAUCAUUUAGAGGAAGGAGAAGUCGUAACA